rnacentral:tRNA from 1 species
GUUUAAUUAGUUUAAUUUAAAAAAUUUCAAAUUGUGGAUUUGAAGAUGUAUAAUCAUUAAACA